rnacentral:rRNA from 1 species
CCCUUAGAUGUCCGGGGCUGCACGCGCGCUACACUGAAGGAAUCAGCGUGCUAAAACCAUUGUCGAAAGGCAUUGGUAAACCCAUUAAAAUCCUACGUGAUUGGGAUCGGGAAUUGCAAUUAUUUCCCUUGAACGAGGAAUUCCCAGUAAGUGUGGGUCAUAAGCUCGCGUUGAUUACGUCCCUGCCCUUUGUACAUACCGCCCGUCGCUGCCCGGGACUGAGCCGUUUCGAGAAAAGCGGGGACUGCUGCUGUCGGGGCUUUCGGGCCUUGGCUUCGGUGGAAACCGCUUUAAUCGCAGUGGCUUGAACCGGGCAAAAGUCGUANCA